rnacentral:misc_RNA from 1 species
UACGGAGGAUCCAAGCGUUAUCCGGAAUCAUUGGGUUUAAAGGGUCCGUAGGCGGGUGCGUAAGACAGUGGUGAAAGUCUGCAGCUUAACUGUAGAACUGCCAUUGAUACUGCACACCUUGAGUAAAUAUGAAGUGGUUAGAAUAUGUAGUGUAGCGGUGAAAUGCAAAGAUAUUACAUAGAAUACCGAAUGCGAAGGCAGAUCACUAAUAAAAUACUGGCCCUGAUGGACGAAAGCGUAGGUAGCGAACAGG